GAUUGUUUUAGUUUAUGAGAUGAGCUAAAGAAAAAAGUAGUCUUAUAUGAGAUUACUGAUCUGAAUUCUGAGAUUUUAUAUGCUGAAAUCGCAAAUCGGAUAGUGGGUUGCUCAAGUGCUAUUGUGAUCACGUUAUAGUUAUAAAAUAUGGAAACAAGGACUCGAGAGUUACUCUGAAAUUUCGUAGAUAGCACUGUCAAGGUUGAGGAAAGGUCUUUACUGCAGUGCAUAUCAAAGAACAAUUGAAACAUCCGAGAAGCCGCCUGGUACAGUUGCAUCGGAAUCCAGUACAAUAUUUUGUUUUGCGAGUUUACAAUUGUGAUUUAUUAUUUGGAGGAAGCAAACUACUGCAGAGAUUCUUCCGUGUAAGAUAUGCCAAUGAUAACAGUCAUAAAAACAAGAUAUAAUCUUAAUCCUAGCCAGCUAAAUGCAGUUUCAAAAAUCUAAAACUAGAACAUUUGGGACAAGAGAGUUGUACAGCAGCAUUGGCUUAUCAACACAGAUCAGUAACCGGAAUCUAAAAGCUAAUGUGGAUUUCAAGGUACAUAUUUUGCUGGUAGUUGCUUGUGUUGAAGGACCCGUUGAGGUAUCGAGAGAGAUUUUUCACAAAUAUUUCAAUGGUUAGUUUGGAAGCACAUAUCAGAGUUGGGCCCCUUUCUUAAUAAUGCGAUUGAGAUGGAAUUAAUUUGCUUCGUCAAUGUAGAUGUUCAGCGUUCAGUAAUUCUUUCUUUCUUUCUUUAUCAAUUCAUUAGCCAAGAGCUCCUUGCAACAGUGGAGAUCAAAAGAACCUCUAGAUCAAGGCGUGGAUCUUCCGACACAUCUAUAAAUCGUCAAAUUUCUUGAAAUAUAAAAUCGGAUCAUGUUGGACUAUAUGCAGAUGACUCAAUAUUUGAUCACAAUAUUAUGCAGCAUUUAGUAGCUUUUGCAAUGGACAGGACCCAUCCUUUGAGGAGGGAGAACCGUAGGCCUUAUGUUGAUCGAGACAUAUUUCUCGUCUUUGCUUCUUAUUCAUAUGGGUCUGUUUUUGAGCAUGUAUAUAUACCAGUAUGGGGUCAGUAUUUUGUGAAUUUGGUAUCACGUGAAGCUAAUUCUGCAACAUCCGUCGGGGCUUCCAGAAGAUCCCAUCAACCGCCAUCAACUGUGCUUUUCUCUUGUCUACAUACAGGCUCAAACAUAACAGACAGUAGACAUGACUCUCCCACACUAAGGUUUAGUUAUCGACCUGUUGGUGUUGUGUCCAUUUCAGCAUUUCCUUAAUUAUCUUCUCGCUAUUACUUUGUACACUGUACUGAGUAGAUUAAUUUAUGCAUCACUGAAUCCCAAGUGCUAUUAACACUUC